rnacentral:rRNA from 1 species
UACGGAGGGUGCAAGCGUUGUUCGGAAUUACUGGGCGUAAAGCGCACGUAGGCGGUUUUGUAAGCCAAUUGUGAAAGCCCCGGGCUUAACCCGGGAAUGGCAGUUGGUACUGCAAAUCUUGAAUACCUGAGAGGGUGGGGGAAUUCCUGGUGUAGAAGUGAAAUUCGUAGAUAUCAGGAGGAACACCGGAGGCGAAGGCGCCUGCCUGGCAGUGUAUUGACGCUGAGGUGCGAAAGCGUGGGGAGCAAAC